GGGAAGGAGAAGAGGUUUUCCAGGACAACUUGUGCAGACACUCAGCAUUCACAAGCCUGGAACCAAUUCUGGCCUGAGGGAGCCCUGCCUGUGGCCGGCACUUUGAGGAUGCCCAUCACCACAUACCAAGGAACAUGUGCAUCUGAUUCACUCCCCUUAGACCUCGUGGAUGCAUUUCCUGUGGACAUCUGUGGCCCUGGCUCUGGGAUGCCUGAUUACUUUAAAUUGAGUGUCGGAGAUUGUAUACAAAAAUUUUGUGAUAUAGCUCCAAGCCUAACUACUGAAACCCUCAGAAUUUCCAAAGUGAUGACCCUAAUAAAGGUGUCUUUGUUAAUAAGGUAAUGAAGUCUCAAUAAAAACUCAAAGUAUCAGGGUUUGGAGAGCUUCUGGGUUGGUGAACACAUAGAGAUUUGGGGAGAGCGGUGCUCAAAGAAGGCAUUGACGCUCC
ensembl:lncRNA